rnacentral:rRNA from 1 species
GAGUUUGAUCAUGGCUCAGGAUGAACGCUGGCGGCGUGCUUAACACAUGCAAGUCGAGCGAGAAAAGUUCUUCGGAGCUUUUCUAGCGGCGGACGGGUGAGUAACACGUGGGCAACCUGCCUCAUAGAGGGGAAUAGCCUUCCGAAAGGAAGAUUAAUACCGCAUAAUAUUGUUGAAAGGCAUCUUUUAACAAUCAAAGGAGCAAUCCGCUAUGAGAUGGGCCCGCGGCGCAUUAGCUAGUUGGUGAGGUAACGGCUCACCAAGGCGACGAUGCGUAGCCGACCUGAGAGGGUGAUCGGCCACAUUGGAACUGAGACACGGUCCAGACUCCUACGGGAGGCAGCAGUAGGGAAUCUUCCGCAAUGGGCGAAAGCCUGACGGAGCAACGCCGCGUGAGUGAUGAAGGUCUUCGGAUCGUAAAACUCUGUUAUUAGGGAAGAACAAAUGUGUAAGUAACUAUGCACGUCUUGACGGUACCUAAUCAGAAAGCCACGGCUAACUACGUGCCAGCAGCCGCGGUAAUACGUAGGUGGCAAGCGUUAUCCGGAAUUAUUGGGCGUAAAGCGCGCGUAGGCGGUUUUUUAAGUCUGAUGUGAAAGCCCACGGCUCAACCGUGGAGGGUCAUUGGAAACUGGAAAACUUGAGUGCAGAAGAGGAAAGUGGAAUUCCAUGUGUAGCGGUGAAAUGCGCAGAGAUAUGGAGGAACACCAGUGGCGAAGGCGACUUUCUGGUCUGUAACUGACGCUGAUGUGCGAAAGCGUGGGGAUCAAACNGGAUUAGAUACCCUGGUAGUCCNCGCCGUAAACGAUGNAGUGCUAAGUGUUAGGGGGUUUCCGCCCCUUAGUGCUGCAGCUAACGCAUUAAGCACUCCGCCUGGGGAGUACGACCGCAAGGUUGAAACUCAAAGGAAUUGACGGGGACCCGCACAAGCGGUGGAGCAUGUGGUUUAAUUCGAAGCAACGCGAAGAACCUUACCAAAUCUUGACAUCCUUUGACCGCUCUAGAGAUAGAGUCUUCCCCUUCGGGGGACAAAGUGACAGGUGGUGCAUGGUUGUCGUCAGCUCGUGUCGUGAGAUGUUGGGUUAAGUCCCGCAACGAGCGCAACCCUUAAGCUUAGUUGCCAUCAUUAAGUUGGGCACUCUAAGUUGACUGCCGGUGACAAACCGGAGGAAGGUGGGGAUGACGUCAAAUCAUCAUGCCCCUUAUGAUUUGGGCUACACACGUGCUACAAUGGACAAUACAAAGGGCAGCUAAACCGCGAGGUCAAGCAAAUCCCAUAAAGUUGUUCUCAGUUCGGAUUGUAGUCUGCAACUCGACUACAUGAAGCUGGAAUCGCUAGUAAUCGUAGAUCAGCAUGCUACGGUGAAUACGUUCCCGGGUCUUGUACACACCGCCCGUCACACCACGAGAGUUUGUAACACCCGAAGCCGGUGGAGUAACCAUUGGAGCUAGCCGUCGAAGGUGGACAAAUGA